AUUCGCUAGAGAUAGCUUAGUGCCUUCGGGAACUCUGAGACAGGUGCUGCAUGGCUGUCGUCAGCUCGUGUUGUGAAAUGUUGGGUUAAGUCCCGCAACGAGCGCAACCCUUAUCCUUUGUUGCCAGCGCGUAAUGGCGGGAACUCAAAGGAGACUGCCGGUGAUAAACCGGAGGAAGGUGGGGAUGACGUCAAGUCAUCAUGGCCCUUACGAGUAGGGCUACACACGUGCUACAAUGGCAUAUACAAAGAGAAGCGAACUCGCGAGAGCAAGCGGACCUCAUAAAGUAUGUCGUAGUCCGGAUUGGAGUCUGCAACUCGACUCCAUGAAGUCGGAAUCGCUAGUAAUCGUAGAUCAGAAUGCUACGGUGAAUACGUUCCCGGGUCUUGUACACACCG
rnacentral:rRNA from 1 species